rnacentral:rRNA from 1 species
CUACGGGCCGCAGCAGUGGGGAAUAUUGCACAAUGGGCGAAAGCCUGAUGCAGCAACGCCGCGUGAGGGACGACGGCCUUCGGGUUGUAAACCUCUUUUAGCAGGGAAGAAGCGAAAGUGACGGUACCUGCAGAAAAAGCACCGGCUAACUACGUGCCAGCAGCCGCGGUAAUACGUAGGGUGCAAGCGUUGUCCGGAAUUAUUGGGCGUAAAGAGCUCGUAGGCGGUUUGUCGCGUCUGCUGUGAAAAUCCGAGGCUCAACCUCGGACCUGCAGUGGGUACGGGCAAACUAGAGUGCGGUAGGGGAGAUUGGAAUUCCUGGUGUAGCGGUGGAAUGCGCAGAUAUCAGGAGGAACACCAAUGGCGAAGGCAGAUCUCUGGGCCGUAACUGACGCUGAGGAGCGAAAGCGUGGGGAGCGAACAGGAUUAGAUACCCGAGUAGUC